UUAUGUGAUCCGCACUGAAGCUUCUGGUGGCUCAGGAAACACUCGCCAGCUGAUAUAUGUGCCUGUGCUUCCACGGCAGGGCAUAAGCUAACAAAUGUGUGGGGUCAAUUGGUUUCCUAAGGGCACUCUUCUCAGGAGCUGGCUCACCAAGUCGCGCCCCCGCCUGCUGCUGCUGAUCGCUGGACUGAAGCGGCCUCAGGUGACCCUGAUGCGGAGGAAAAGGAUGAAGAGAACAAAAGUAGCCAAGGCCACGUAAGCGAACCUGCAGCCGCAUGGCCCAUUUCACCUGAGGCUUCAGGAGAAGGUAUCCUCCUGGGGGACUCCAGAUGUUCUUCAUGGACCCCUGGCAGCCAGGAGCCAGGAGCCCGACUCACUGGACGAAAUCUCUGCUCUUGUUCUCACUGGACUCUAGUUAGUGUGGCCUGUGCAUCAUCCCAGCAUAUACCAUCUUUGGUUGACCUAAGAUGUUUGUUUUAUACCACCUUCCCCAAGCAGAAUGCCGACACACUGUGUCAAUGCUGAUAAAAGGCCACCAAUGGAAACCCCACUUCUAAAACAGUUCUAAUCUAUGAAAACCGUUUGAUUGAUCAAAUCUGACACAAGCUAAGAUGUUGCUGAGAAGAGUGGACAUUUUGACGAAAACAUCCUUGGUACUAUGUUGAACAGCAUGCUAAAUCUUAUUCUAAAUGAGGCACUUGGUUGAAAAGUGUGACGUAAAAAAUAUUUGAGAUAUUUACCUAUAAUAAGAGCAAUCUUUCGAGAGACAGAAUACAUAACUCUUCUGUCGUAACACGUUGACAUGCUCUUCAUUGAGCAGUCACACUAUAGCUAAUCUGCUUCAAUGGCAUCUCAAAGGACUGAAAAGGUAUCCAGUCUCCUGAUAGCACAUCAAGCAAUCUUAAUACAGAGGGCCUUUAACUUAAGGAAACUGAUAUUUGAAGAUUUAAACAUGGUCCACUGAUGCUGUACAGAAUAUUUAGUGUAGAGAAACAUGGUGUGUGUCUGGCUGUGUAACCUGAUGUAUUGAUACGAGUACUGUCCUUAUUUCCUCUGUCUUCUAUAGCAAAACCUGUGUGGUCAGAUGAGCUCCGCACCAAUGUGAUCAAGUCACAGGAUGUCUCCCAGCAAUGAAAGGACCCUUUCUUGAAGUGUAGCAUCGAUAGGGUUAGGGAUGAUAUAUGGUACCAGACCCAUAAAUAGGGUUAGGGAUAGGCUUACCCUUUAAUCAUUUCCACUGUGAAGUAAACUGGAUGUCUAGUGAUUAAUUUGCUGUGUCUGAAACUUUAAACAUUAAAACUUUGAUUGUG